CAGUCGCCGCGGUAAUACGGAGGGUGCAAGCGUUAUCCGGAUUCACUGGGUUUAAAGGGUGCGUAGGCGGGCAGGUAAGUCAGUGGUGAAAUCUUCGAGCUUAACUCGGAAACUGCCGUUGAUACUAUCUGUCUUGAAUAACGUUGAGGUGAGCGGAAUAUGUCAUGUAGCGGUGAAAUGCUUAGAUAUGACAUAGAACACCGAUUGCGAAGGCAGCUCACUAAACGCUCAUUGACGCUGAGGCACGAAAGCGUGGGGAUCAAACAGGAUUAGAUACCCCAGUAGUCCCUGUCUCUUAUAA
rnacentral:rRNA from 1 species